rnacentral:tRNA from 1 species
GCCAGAGUGGCGGAAUGGCAGACGCGCUGGAUUCAAAAUCCAGUAGGAGCAAUCCUGUGUGGGUUCGAGUCCCACCUCUGGUA